rnacentral:lncRNA from 1 species
ACGCUGCACUACCAGCAUUCGGAGACUUUACAGAACCAGGUCUAACAGAAGCAGCUGCUGCUGCCUGUUGCUGGCUCAAAGGGAAAAUGAAAGCAGGACCAUGCUGAAAUACAAUAAGGACACCUGAUUAAUAUAUGCAACCCCUGGUCCAUGGUGCCUUUCAACAAUGAAACAAACAAGAAAAGAAACAUACCAAGAUAUUACUAGGUGCGCCUGGAGGUAGAGCUUGCUGGAUUACUAUUUGCUUUCUCUGUGCAUCCAUAAGAUUGGCUGCUGGUGAAGCUUUUUCCUUCCCAGGUUGCGCAGGAAACAUAGUAAUCCCAUGUCCUUUGUCAGGUGCAGAAUUUGCACCUCUACCAGGAAUACUCCCAUGAAAUUCUGGGGGAAUUACACUUGGAUUGUGCUUCGUCCCAUACAUAGAUCCGGAACCAGCUGCUACUGGCCAAAAAGGAUUCAUCUUCGACAUUUGCUGGUGAUAGUAUAUAUUCCUUGCAAUGUAGCAAUGGGUUGCACACCUCUUUUGACGAGGUUGGUUGAAAAGCACUUGCGGUGGCUGCACGAGUUCAAAAUUUGAUUAAAAAAAAAAUGAUGGAGCUUGCAAAGAGUUUCAAGAAAAGAUUGGAAAGUGAGAAAAAAAACCCCCGGAAAGUAGACUUACUUGCAUAGCAGCUGGAGGAACGGUACUCCCAUCCAUGGAUACAACUCCUUGUAAAGGUGCCAUGUAUCUGCUGAUAAGAAACACAAAUGAGUCUAAAAACCAGCACCCGAAAUAUUGCCAACAAAGAUUGAGGAACACAAGAAAAUGACCCAAUCAUACCCCAUAGGAGAAAGCCCCCCUGGCCAGCCAGCAGGCAUAGACAUUGGCAAAGGUACAGAGCUUGGUUGCACUGAAGAAGAAUGUGAUAGAAAUUAUUAAUCAGGCAACCCGAAAGGUCAAUCCAAAGCUCAAAUAACCCCGUGAAAAAGAGAUUAUGAGAGAAGAAACAAAGAGAAAUACACAAAAUGAACUUACCAGCAGUUUUCUCAGUGCUUUGUUGCUGCUUAGCAGCAUGCUGAGGUAGCUUGUUUCCACUAAAACCAGCAUUGCCACUAUCUCUAUCAGUCUUCUCCAAAUCAAGCUGGAGAUCAAUAUUCCUUUCCUUACCACCCACAACAGGCUUCUUAAACUCAGCUUCUUCCACUACUGCUGCCGAAGCUGCUUUCUUAAACUUCUCAGCUUCCAAAUUUGCAGGCUCUUCCUUCCCAAAUUUCAAAGCUUUGUCAUCUUCUCUGGUCAAGGACUUUAAUUCCUGCACCCAAAAACAAACAGUGCCCCAUUUAUUAAAUCAACAAAUCACCAUCAUACCAAACAAGAAGGGUACGCAAGUGGCAGUGGUGGGCCCCUACUCACCGUUUCUGCAACUAUGACCGUAGGUUUGGGAUCUGCAGACACAAAAUCAACCUCGCCAUCUCUUUCUGGAGAAGAUCUUGAAGGAGGAGGAGCCUAUAACAAUUAAAACACAGAAAAUUAACCCAGAUUAGAAAAUAAAAAAUAUACCUUUGAAAAAAAAAAAAAAUAUAUAUAUAUAUAUAAUAAAAUAAAAAGAAGAUAAAUCUUGUUUUAGAUAACAAGACCCUCACCAUCAGAUCUAUCUGGAACUUCUCUUCCCGGUGGUUCUCAAUCUCAGAGAUGGUUGAAUUUCUGGCAAAACACAAGAAAAAAAAUUAGAGAGAAAACUCAGGACCCAAUUUUUUAUAUUUUCCCAGAAAAAGAAAAGGUCUAUGAUGCUCACGCUUUAUUGGUCGCUGUCAUAUCCCCACGAUUAUCAUCUAAUCUGAACACUGGAGAUUCUUUCUUGGGCGAUUGCGCUUCCUCUUUCCUUUGUUUGAGAUUUUGACUCUGCGAUUCGUCAUUUCCCGGCUUUGAAUCUGCGGUAGCCUUGCUCUCCGGCUUCAUCAUUGACUCCUUAAUCGACUCAGGCUGGGACCCCGGUACCGGAAUGGAGUGAGAAUUGGACAAGUUGUACGAACACCCACCAUUUUCUGUGACAGAUCCUGAUUUUUUCUCCAAAUUUGGGGAGGAAGCUUCAAUCUUCAUGGAUUGAUCUGUGGCAACCUUGUUUGUAGUCGAAAUGGCACUGUUUUGUAGUGGGAAAAUCGAUGGGUGUUCUUCAUCAUACUUCGCAGAGGCUCGCGGUCUUUUCCUCUUGGGUGCUGUUGAAUCCAAUCAAACGCAGAAAAUUUCAUCAGUCACCAUAAAAACACAAGCAGCCCCGAAACAGAGCAUUGGGGAUGAGAGCAAGAAAUGAAUUAAGACUGAGCUCCUGGGAGCGGAUAUACCCACCAGUAGCGGACAUGGAAGUGGCAGAGGAGCUAGAAUUCUGCGGAAAAGCAGAUAUCGAGUGAGGAGGAGCACACGGCGAGUUUGAGAUCGGUGACGAAACUCUUGAUUUCGCAUCACUAGUGGACUUGUUGAUUUCUCUUGAUUCGAACUUAAUUGAAUCGGUGACUGUAAUUUCUUGCUUCGUUGGACCCUGCGGUUGCCUCAUCAUCCCAUACAACACCUCAGCAAUCUCAAUCUCUAUCUCGUCUUGAGUCGACGGUGAUGUCUUGGUCGUCGUCGCCAUCUUCGGCGGCUUCAAUUUUGGGCCAUUGGGUCUCUACACACAGAAGAAAAUCCGUCAGUAAAGAAAAAAUUGAAAAAUCAAAGGGAAGCAGAAUCAGAAAUGAAUCAAAUUCGAGAACACCCACAGGCUUCUUCCUAACCGAAGCGUGAGAAGAAGAGGGUGAGGUCGGAGCUGGGGAUGGCGCAGCCAUCGAUGAUGUGGUUGGCCGGACCGGAGAUGUAGAAGCUUGCCGGUGAAAUUGGUCUCCGACAACUCCACAACUGGAAGGCCAUUCAUGAGACCUCUUCGUAGAGGCUGAAAAUUACAGAAAAGGACAAAGUCAAAACUAGAAUCCCAGAACCCAAUAAUUCCUUUCGGAUUUUCCAUAAUAGGUUCUUUCUCUCUACCUGACCGUGCUCUUCUGGGAACGGAAACGCCAAUCAUUUCAUCAGUGACCUUCAACGCCGGCAGCGGUCGGAAAUGCUUAUUAUUAACCGGAGGGAAGCUCUUCCGGUGAUUCAACAACGAAGACGACGAAGAAAGCGACGCCGUUGGCGGAUUUGGCGGAAGCAUGCGAAUAGAGCCGCCGCCGCCUCCACCAUCGUCGUAUUCAUCUUCGUCCUCGUCGUUCACACUCUCCUCAGAACUAUCGUCUCCGCCGUCUUCUCUAUUGCUCCCGUGCAUCAAUCUCUCAGCUCUUCUCCUCUUAUUCCGGUUCAUCCGAUCCCUGUCUCGAUCCCGGUCCCUGUCCCGGUCUCGGUCCCGGUCUCGAUCCCGAUCUCGAUCUUUCUUCCCGCUCCCUCGAUCUCUCAGCCUCGAGGUCUCCUGUAACUCCACCGGACCAUCGUCCUCUGCAAAGACCAAAACAAAAUCAAAAACCAUUAAAAUCAAUGAAAAAUCUUCAAACUCAGAAUCGGUGAAAACGAGUUAGAUCUGAGGCUGACCUGGAGAGUCUCUGAGGCUGUGAUUUCUGUGUCUUCUUCUUGACAAGCCAUUCGUGGCCGCCAUACUUCCUCUCCUCGCAUCUCUAUUCCUAUCCAUCUUCUACUCUAAAUCUAUCUAAGCCACACACCUAUAAAGCUAAUCCCAUCUCUAAUCACCAGAAAAGAUGAACGCCUCGCCGGAGAGAAUUUAGUCAAAGCCACCGGAUUCGCAUCCUCCGAGGAGCUCCAAACGCCAGAAAUGAUUUCCUCUCACAAAUAAAAAGAUCUUAGCUUUCGCUUAUCUUCUUCACCUCUCACUCUCUCUCUCUUUCUCUCUCUCUAUCUGUGCUCUUCCUUCUUGCCCCCUCUUGCCUUUUUCUCUCUCUUUCCAACUUCUGUCUUCUUUUUGUGCUCUGUAUCAGUCUAUCUCUCAUCCUCUUUUCCGCUAUUUCACUGGGAGCGAAACCCACUCCAGACCUGCGUGGACGGUCCUGAUCUCCAGCUACACUUCCUCGACAGAUCUCAGCUCUCCAUUAGUCGACCCAUCCGGUGGUUAUACAUCUCCUGAAACCAACAUGGCAUCAUCUCCCACCGUUCGUUCCAGGACCUCCACCUUUUCUGUCUGGUCCCUCCACGUGUCAUAAUCUUUUUUCCUUCCUUCCCAAGCUUUCACGUUUACUCACUCACUACCGAUUUGGUGCUUUUAUACUAUUAAAUAAUUUAAAUCAAUAAAUACAGAUAAAGAUAAUUUUUUCUUUUUUUCUUUUUUUAUUUUAUAAUGGGUACUGUAGGUCUGUAGCCCACGAUUCCACAAUCACAGUGAAUAUUUUAUAGAAACCCCCGGAGAACCGGUGACCGGCUAUAACCGGUGGCAGAGACCUCGGUAAAAGCUACGUGACGAUCACAGGGUAUCUACCUGACCGCAGAUAAUAUUGUUCCAACCGGUCAAAUUUCACAAAAUCAUUACCCCAGGUCCCACCAUUUUGUGUUUCCUUUUUUAUAUCUUUAAUCAUAUAUUUUAAUGUAUUUCAGGAUGAUGGCAAAUCUAUUAACAAAUUCCAUAUAUCGACAAGUGCGGGCCCACCUGACUUGUACCAGAUUGACGUUCAACGCAGCGGAUCUGUCCUUUACCGUCACACCAGCUCUAAACGCCGUUGGAUCGGCGUCCGACGUGGCGUGAAACUGAAAAAAUAUUUUUUAAAGGCAAACGCCCAAACCCAGAUUCGUCCGAGCUGGCACCAAAGCUAAAAAAAGGGCUCGUGCGUGUCGAUCAGUGCGCCCCCUCUGAUCCAACGGUUCAGACGCGCCCACAGCCGCGGGUGAAGCCUACUCUCUCCGGUCACGGUCACGGAACUUCCGAGACAAGGCGUGGGUCCCACCCGGUUAGCUGCCGAUCUAGAAAUUAUUUCCUCGCGUUGGCCUAUUGUCACGUUCGUGGGAUAUGGCAAGCUGCCAUGACGUGUACCGGGCCCACAGCACAAAAGAAAGAAAUCUACCAUUUUUUUCCUUUUUCUUUUUCUCUACCUGCGCGGUCAAAUUUAACAGCGCAGUUAAAAAAGUCGUAUUUACACAUACGACUUAUUAACUAAAAAGGCAAACGUUUUUCCGGUUUUCUCACUCCACGCACUUAUUGCGGAGUUUCACAUUUAAUUACCCCAGAUAUAUAAAAGCCGUUCAUUUAUGGCAGUGUCAUUUUCACUACGUGUCGUUCUCUAGUCGCGACACGUGACGCUUGCUCUUCUGAUUCCCCGUCUCGGAUCUUGCUAUUGGCUACUUUUCUACGCUCUCACAAGCUAUAGUAAAUAACUUUCUCAGAUUAGAAGGCGGUUGCGAUACUCUUACCCGCCUGUGACGGACCAUAUUCGAGCAGACAGUGGGAAAACUUACAACACAGCUGGGUGAGUUAAUUAGUGCUCCAUAAAAAAGGGUAUAAUUUAGGAGACAAGUGUGGCCACGUCAGACAGUGGGGUCCUCAGUUGGGUUAACCCCACCACAGUGGAUCCCUUUCUCCAGUAUUUGUCGCCUUGCGAGGGCUUAGGGGCUCUCAUUUUCGCUCGCUAUCGUGAACUCCCUGAUAGAUGCCACGUGUCCGAAAAACGGUGCUACGUGAUCUGCCCGCGUGGCUUUGUUUAUGACCGUUUACGUAACCCUAGCCGUCAACAACAAGAUAAACAACAAAGCACACAUAAUUGGGGCGUGACCAUAACCUGCGCUUAUUAUUAGCUUAUUAUUAUAACUAAUCUAAUUGAAUUUUGAUUAUUAUAAUAAUUGAUUAAUAAACUAAUUGAAUGUCAUAUUGGGCGAAUGCAUUAUGAGCAUUACAAGGUAUGAUCUUCCCUGUUGGGGGUGCUUCAUGCAUGAAUGAGAAUUUCAUUUCUUCACUUAAAAUAUUGACUCAGAAAAUAGUAACUCAGGUACAACUCGGAGCAUAUUUAGAGCAACUUCAACGUAAGAGUCAAAAAAAUUUAUCAAAUUUGAAUUUUGACAUAUGACAUGGAAUUUUUAAAUUUGACAAAUUUCUACUCCAACAAAAUGGUUAAAUUCAAACAUUAUUAUACUAUAUCCCUAAAAUCCCUUCUCGUUCUUCUUUUAUCUUUAGCCCAGAAAUUCUUCUAGUUCUUUCAUUCUAUUACCUUCUGCUCUUGAUGUUCUAAACCACCAAAUUCAAUCUUCAAUUGACACUUCUCAAAACCCAAAUCCCGUAUAAAUUCUUUGGUUCUCUCCUACCCAAAUCCUACAGAAAUCAUAUUUCAGAUUCCAAAUAGACAAGGGGGUUGGUUUUGAAAUCGACCCCAGAUCGGUGGCAGAAUAAAAGGAGGAGGAAAGCCCGAGGAAGAUGAUGGUGGUGGUGGGUUUGGGAGGCAUGAGAGGGGUAUGAAAUUUGGAUCAGAUUGCAUCUUUGGUGACUUUCAUUCUAGUUUGGACUCCAAUCUGCAUGUUGCAUUUGAGAACAUGAUUCUAAAAGAAAGAAAGAGAGCACUAGAUCUGAUGACGAUGAUGUUGAUCGGAGAAAGGUGGAGGCUGGAGUUGAUCCUCUUGAGAAAAGAAGAGAAGAUGCAGAAGCAAGAAAAAAGAGGGAGAAGUGGGAAGGAAGAAGAGAGAGCAGCGAGAGAGACGAAAGAGAGAGAAUCAAUGAUAAAAUAAUAAAUGACUAUUCUCUCGCGCUGUGUCAAAAUUGACAACGUCCGGGCUAUAGUCAAAUCCACAUAGGAUUUGACUCUUUCAAUGGAGUGCAUGUUGGGCUGUCAAAAAGAAACGUUGGGCUACCAACAAGGAUUUAACUCCUUUGUUGGAGAUGCUCUUAAUAUUCAAGCAAAUAAUAUAUAUAUAUAUAUUACAAUACUCGAUAUGUCAAUGUUUAUAGUUAUGUUUCUUUUCCUAUUCAAAUCGCUUGUCUUAAAAAUUAUUCUCCUAAUGCGGUCUUUUGUUCUAGGUUAGGAGCUUCCAUUUUGAUGAGGAUAAUGACUGGUUACCAUUUUUGAUGUACGAACCAAUUGUGAUUAAGAUUUUAGAACAUAAUGUACAUUUUAUAUUUUUAUUUGUGUUUUGAGUUACUUAUUCUAUUUCUAUCAUAUAAGUUUGGUUCUAUGCCUAAUUUUUAUCAAAGUUCAUCUGCGUUUUGCACUUUUUACAAUUGUACAUUUCCAAACAAGUAAUUCAAAUAUUCUCCCAUCCACAAGCUAUCUACUGAAUUCUAUUUUCAUAACCAGUUUUCAUGUGGAUUGGGUUGGCCUAUAUAGAAUUUUGUUUACUUAAUGCAACUAUUACUCCAUAGCUUCCUUUCUAGUGUUUUAUAGGAUACAUUGGCAUUUUGCAAUAUCUUCUUCUCUAGAUGCCUUAAAUCAUGGAAUUGACAACUGGUUAUGGACUUGAAAUUAAUUUCCGCUUAUUAAAAUGUGAAAACAUAUCAAGAUGUAAAUGACAGACUUCAUUUCACGAUGUUUACUUGGCGACUCAUCUUCUCUCUAAACACAUGAUCGAUAUGGUUUGGUUAUAUGGUGACAAUGAACAAAAUGACACUCUUAAUAGGUGGUGUGGUGAAUCCUAAACAUAAUAGUGAAUAUCACAAUAAUAGUUAUUUUUUUCCUAGACUCACAGUGUGUUUGGAUGCGGGUGAAUUUCUAGAAAUUUAAUCAAAAAUAAAGAAUUCCUAAUUUCUUAAGACUGUUUUUCCCUGUUGGAUUCUUAUUUAUUUUUUUUUUGGAAAAUAUCAAAAUGAUAUAUUAAUAAUUCUCAGGCCAAAGAAAGCCAUUACAUAUACUCCCUCUACCGAUUAUGGAUAUAUAAAAAGUUUGCGAACAAGUCACAGUGAUACAGAGAUUAGACUCCUCAUUCGACAAUACAAAACUCACUUAUUCAAACGCGCUUACUACUAGUGCAUAACAGACACCGUAGUAGCCCAAAUUAAAAUAUAUUAAAUCUUCUCUUUGCCCUUGGCUGAAGGCCUAGGAGGUGCAGGCUAAUAAACCAUCCGGUUCGGCCCAUCAUCACCAAUCAGCCAAAAGCCCAAGCCAGACUCUCCUUGCCUGAACUCAUAUUCAGGCCCAAUUCUCUGAGCCCAAACCGUAACCCGAGUCUAAGUCUGCCUCACCGUCAUUGUUCUCGGAGACCAGCGCCUCCACAUCUCGUCAUCAAAAGCAAGCUUCCACGCCGCACUGACAGAAAAUUCAGGUCCGUCCGAACCCUGACCUUGCACCGCUCGCAUAUCCACUCCAAUCUGAGUCAUUGGAUACGAACCAGGAGGUCGGCAACCAUUAAGCCCAACUGUCACUGCAUUUGAAAUCUGAGCAGGACUGUUGCCCAGAUCUGGCAUGACAACCACCAUGGUCGCCGUUCCAUCGUUCCUGACCUCGAGAAACCGUGUUGAACCCAUCUCCAAGGAUUUGGACAUGGUUAGAGACCCACAUCUGAUCCAACAAAGCACCAUCACAGUUGGAAAGGUCAGUUCGAACCACUUGUAUCAGAGCUGCCGCCCCACUGACAAAAGCAUUCAUCUCAGCCUCUCGUUGCCACCAAAAACAUGAUCUCGUCGUCGCCGCGAUCAGGCUGCCAACACAAUCGUCACCUCGUCCGUAGAUGUCACACCCCAAUUUUCGAAAGAUAAAUUUUCAAAAAUUUGGGCAUGAUAAAACUCAAAUUCUAAAUACCCCAAACCUGCUCAACAACUUUCAAACUAAAAACAGAUACUGGAAAUGUAAAUGUCAAUGAACUCAACAACUGAGUUAAACAUUUAUUCUCCUUAAAUACAUCAACUUCCAAAAGUCUAGUAAUAAACAACUUCGCUCACAAGAGCUUAAAACAACUACCAUAAAAAAAUACAAAUAAAUGUAUCUCGUAAAAAACCCAGCUCCUAGGCCACUGCCUCAACCCUGCUGAUCAUCACCUGCAGGUCUAACCCCUACACCAUGAAUUGGUGCACCGGGUUGUAAACAACAAACCCGGUAAGCUAAAAAGCUCGUAUGAGUAACUCCCAAAUAUUAACUCAACAAAUCCAACAUCACACAUAAAUAAAAUUGGUAAUUCCCGCAUUAAAAACUUAGUUCAAGAAUCACCUAAAAGCAAAAGAAAUCAAAAGAACAAAUAAGAAAAAACACAAUAAUUCAAAAUCACUCAAAAUCAUAAAUGAAACAAAUAAUUAAAAGGAGACGCAACAAUUCACAAUCAAACAAAUCAAAAUGAAAUCCUACAAAAAGACAUAGUUCAAGAAAUACUUAAAACGAGAAAUUUUAAAUGACAACAAAUAAGAACCUCAAACAAUCAUUUCUCUACUCUUACUUAUGAGUUCGCCAACACUUAGUCAUCCCUCAUAAGUAACCAACAAAUGCGUACUCAUGGGUUCGUCAACACUUAGUCAUCCCCCAUGAAGUACCAACUGACAGACUAGAGCUCUAUACUGACCGUAACCAAUCACCCGGCCAAGGCUUGGUUCCCGGUCCACCACGAAGGCUCCUAAUCUAAUGCACACCAUCACCACUAAGGCACACACAUACACAACUAAUGCACAAAAUCACCACUAAGGCACACACAUACACAACUAAUGCACACAAUCACCACUAAGGCACACACUCUAAUACUCUCCCAACAUAACACUUAUCAAAUCACAAAAUAAUAAUAUAAUCAUAACCGUAACCUAUCACCCGAUUAAAGGCUAGGAACCCGGUUUGACUAUUUAACAACAAUUCAAUAUAAAAAUAUCAUCAACAACAUCAAAAGAGCACUUCAUAAAUUAUAUCUUUCCACCUAGAUAUAUUUAUAUAAACAAAGACAUAGAUAUUCCCACUAGAAAAUCUAUCAACAAACAUAUUUCAACGUCACCAUAUCACAUGAUCGAAAGUCCUUUUGAAAGAUUUAUUUUUAACAGAAAACUUGUUUUCACUUACCAUGAGCCGUUGACGAUCAAGCUCAUUUAUUUUUUUAAAAACAAAGUCAUUUUCCUUCAAGGACAAUUUCACAAUUAAUAAAACGAAAUUAUAAAGUAAACUCGGUUCCUUAAGAACCCAUGUGAGAAUUACUCACAAUAUAAAAAUAGCAUCAUAAUCAUCAAACAAAACCAUUACCAUCGUCAUCAUAAUAAUUAUCAUCAUCAUCAUCAUCCUCAAAAACAACAUCACAAUUAUCAUCAUAAUCAUCUCCAAAAUCAACAUCACAAUCAUCAUCAUGAUAAUUAUAAAUAUUUGGUCCCAAAGUGGACCUUGGUGAGAUGUUACUCACCUAAAAUCCAGCUGCGUCUUCGCACGCACAACACAAGCACAACACCAACUUUGUCAAUCACCUAGGUAGCACAAAACAACUUAAUGACCAACAAAACAAGCGAUCAACUUAAUGACCAACUUUGUCACUAACAACCAAGUGAUUACCCUUUACGCCAACUAGCUAAAACCUAACCCAAAGAUUUACCAAAACGAGGCAAUCCUCGUAUGAGACCUCCCAAGGUCACCGAAACCCAUGAACAGCCUAUGAUAACCAAAAAUGAUUACCUCUAUGUUCAGAUUCCAUAAACCAACACCGAAAGAAACGACUUCCGGUGAAGCCCCAACAUACUCAAGCAACAUUGAAACCUACAAUCUACAUGCUCAAGUACUCGUAUCGACAAGCACAACCUAACAAUUACUCCUAACCACCCAACCUCUGCCGAAGGCGCCGUCACGCACCGCCACACGCCGGCGGCGAGUGGGCCCCACGCGCCACCCUACCAACCUACGAAUUAGCCCAAGCUCACAACACAAAACUUGUAGAUUGAAGAGAGAGGAGCAUCUUUUAUACCUGAGGGUUCAACUAGUUCGGCCGGAAAUCACCGGAAACCCGCCGGAAAAGUUGGAAUUCACCACCACCACUCCACACCGAGAGUCGACCUUCAAGACCACCGGAAAACAAACCAGGACGCCAAGGAGCUCCUAUCCCGACCGUUUCCAAGCUGCGUCGCCGCCGUACACGGCCGGAACACCCUCGGGUCAAAGUCGGGUCCGCCACCCUCCACUGCAGCGUUCGAUUCUCUCAAACCAGCUUGAUUCGUCUUCGCCCACCUACACAGGGAAGAGCACGCCGAGGAGAGGAAGAGUUUCCGACCUGUGCCGUCGUCUGGGUCGGCCGGAGAUGGCCGGAAAAUCCGGGUCGAGUCAACCGGGUCCGGGUCGGGUCAGCUGAAAAACUUUGGCAGUGAGGGUGAGGCGCGGGAGAGAAGGGAAGAGAAAAAGAGGGUUUUCCGGAAAAUGAAAAGAGAACCCUGUCUUUUUCUUAUUUAACACAAAACCCCGGAAAACCACAAACUUCUGCUGACCAUAACUUCUUCAUACGAAGUCCGUUUCACGCGUGCCACGUGUCUACGAACUCGUAUCGCCAUGCUCUACAACUUUCGUGAAGGAAGUUUCCCGAGAAACCCAACCGAUUAAAAAGUCAACUCUUAACCCUUCAAAAUAGAGCAUUUUCACGGAACUAAAAACUCGACUACUUCCAGUCCACUCACUAAACCACAAAUCCAUACAACUCUUACUUAAAUAAUUUCCAAAAUAAUAUUAGAAACUAAUAUUAAAAUUCCGGGGUAUUACAGUAGAUGAAGCGUCGCCGCCAGAUCUGAACCCUAGGGUUCGGAGCAAAAGAGCUCUGCUCGGAGACUCCCCAUGAAUUCUUAUCUCGUGGGAUUAGCAAUUUCCACAGGAAAAUAAUUGAGGAAUUUGAGAGCUUAAAUUUCCGAUUUAAAUUCUUCACCAAAUAGGUGUCGUUUGUCAAAUCCAUUAGCUGAGGUUAAUCUAAAUACAAAUUCUUAACAUUUUAAAACCCUACAUCAUGGAUUAAAAAAUAAAAAAAUAAUAAAAAACUCUAAAUCAUGAAAUCCAAACAAUAAAAUUCUUAAUUAAUGGAAUUUAAAUUUAUGGAAUUAUAAUUCUCAUAAUUUUAAAAUUUCUAUGGAAAUUGAAAUUACUUUAUCCAAACACAACAUAAUAGAAAAUAAGGCAAAUAGCAGAGAAAGGUAUUGUAUAUUAUAUGAGCCCUUAUUUAUAGUCGUACAAAACUAUAAUCCAUUAUCAAUAAUAAAACCUAACCCUAUUCAUAAUAUGCAAAUUAAAUUUAGGAGAAGGCACAUUCCUUAUACAACUAGAUUACAUAUUCUUUAGGUCGACUAGGCACACACACAAAUUAGGUUAUCCUACAACGCGUAUCAACACUAGGCAAUGCUGCAAUGCUCUUCUAUUUGCCUCAUUUUUUUUUCGGGAUGUGAAAUCCACACACUCUAAAUUAAAAUCCACUCACCCUUUUUCUUUUUUGGUAAUUUAAAUUUUGUCUUUUAGUAACUUAAACGUUGUCUUUUUAUGAAUGUGUUAACCAAAAAAGGAAAAAUGGUGUGUGGAUUUCAAUUUGGGGUGUGUGAAUUUCACAUCUAUUUUUUUUUUGAAAAGUAAUUCAUUGAAACAAUUAGUGAUUACAAUCACUUUGAAUGACAUUCCUUAUAAAUUCGGGAGCAAGAUCAAGCCAUACUUGGCUGGUACACGAAAUCAUAGCAAUGCUCUUCUAGUUGCCUCAUUAAAACCUUGCGAAGUAACAAAAAACUUUGUGCGGCAAAAACAACCUUGACUGAAAGAAAAAUAUUACAACACACCCUUCACAUUUGGAAAUACAUACAACACACACCCUUCAUAUUUGGAAAUACAACAAGAGAGCGCAAAAGUCCCCUUAAAAGUAUGUGUCUCCCAUGAUAACAAUCAUGGGAUUUGAGAGAGCUUAAGCAAACUAAUGCUUUUGACAAGCUUCUCAAAUGUGGUUUUAAAUAGCGACUUGGUAAAUAAAUCUUCUACAGUGUCUUAAAAACAAACUUGAUUGACUUGAAUCUUGUUGUUGAUAAUUGUAGAAGAAUUUAGGCGAUAUGCAUAUGCAUGGUGUUGUCACCCCUGAUGAAACCUUGCUUCAUCUGCUCUAUGCAAGCUGCAUUAUCCUUCUAAAUGCAUGUAUGCUCAUAUAUGCUGGACCUCAAACCACAUGUACUUUGGAUAUGUAUGUUUAUGGAGCCCAACCAUAUACACUCACACAUGACUUCAAGUAGAGCAAUAACCUCUGCAUGAUUGGGAGAAGUAGUGACAAUGGACAGUUUGAUAGACUUGCAAAAUAUCGUGGUGUUACCCGUGAAAAAAGGAAUAACCUCUUUGUGAGGGUCGAUAGAUACUCUGCAUUAGGACAACAUUACUUAGGCUUUGGUUAGAGGGCCAACAAAAGUGUAAAAGCUUGAGGAAGUACGGCUGACAGCAACAACCGAAAUAGUAUAUGUAUUAGUGGCACAACCAUGGGUGGCGACACAUUGGCUCGCAACGGUGGUGGCGGUGCCGAGUGAGGCUAGUCGUGUUGUCUUAACAAACAUGGUCUCAUGUUGUAUCUUCUUGACUCUUUGUAGGGACGGAACAAGCCUAAAUCAAUCCUACAUUUUAAGUAACACAAUAUUGUAUUUAAUCAGUCCAAUGAGUUGCGUGGGCACGGAGUUAUAUCGAGCUAACAAUUUACAAUAAAUAAGAUAUCAGGUCUCGUGCACUGUGACAAAUACAAGAAUGCACAUAUUGCAUUAAUUAAGGUAUGACAACUCAGCCUCUAAAUCGUCUUUGUCAUUAUCCAUCGAACGAAAUAGAUCCUUCCUUAUUUCUAUUCUGCGACCAAUAGGUAACAUAAUGAACUUUAUCCAUAUUAAGACGUUUGAGCAUCUUUUCAAUAUAAGCUAAAUCAAGAUCCCACUAUCAUAAUGCUCUAAACUGAAACAAAACUGUAUUUUAUUCUCAUAUUUCAUCUCAAAUACGGAUUUCAAGUACUAGACGGUCCCUUUUAACUUAUCAAGAGUUCCACACUACUAGAAUAAAGGACUUAGGCGACGAAAACACGGUGACGAAAACAUUUUCGUCGCCUUGGUAAGUAGUUAGGCGUCGAAAACUUCAUUUGUCUAUUUGGUUCGUCACCUUAGAUUACCAAGGAGACAAAAGAAUGACUCAUACUAUUUUUGUCGCCUUAGUAGACAUUAAGGUGACGAAUAUGGUUUCACUGCCUAAAUUAUCAACCACCGAGGUGACGAACAUAUUUUUUCUUCGCAAGUUUAUCUUAGGCGACGAAAGUAGUUCUUAGGCGACGAAAUUUUUCGUCGCUGUUUCGUUGCCUAAGUAAACUCACUUUAUAAUCUCAUCUUUAUGAACCAACUAUAUAUAGAAAGUAAUAUUUUCAAAAAUCUUGUGAAAUAGGAUAUGAUCGUUAUGAUGAAAUACGAUUAUAGUUGAAAAAUCACAUAUUUUCGGUAACGUUUGGUCCCCAAUAUAAGCGGUCAACCUCAUUUACGCUUAUGCCUCCCUAUGGGGAGGCUUAUCGUCGGGAGGUGAACGUCUCUAAAGUUUUAAAUAGGUGGUUAGAUCUCAUCAAUGUGAGAGUUUUGUGUGUGGAAGAAUCAACCAAACUAGGCCAUAUAGGGGUAUGUAAGAGCGUUUUCGUGUAAUAAUUGGCGUUGGUUUAGGUUUGACCGUGUGGAUCGAGACCCAAACCUUAUCGAAAACAUGUGAAUUUUUUUUCAUAGCCGUAUUUAAGUAUACUAAUCAUAUCGUACGGUUAAAUUUUCAUUUUGUGAAAUUUAGCCGUCGGAACCACAACAUACCUACUAAUGUGGGUAGCAGGUUAUAUGCAAGUGUACAUCUUUGUGAACCAACUAUAUAUAGGAAGCAAUAUUUUCAAAAAUCAUGUGAAAGGAUGUGAUCGGUAUGAUGAAAUACGGCUAUGGUUGAAAAAUUACAUAUUUCCGGUAACGUUUGGUCGCCGAUAGAAGCUGUCAACCCCAUUUACGCUUAUGCUUCCUUAUGGGAGCCUUAUCGUUGGGAGGUGAACGUCCCUAAAUUUUUACAUAGGUGGUUAGAUCUCAUCAAUGUGAGAGUUUUGUAUGUGGAAGAAUCAACCAAACUAGGCCAUAUAAAGGUGUGUAAGAGCGUUUUCAUGUAAUAAGUGGCGUUAGUUUAUGUUUGACCGUGUGGAUCGAGACCCAAACCUUAUCGAAAACAAGUGAAUUUUUUUUCAUAGCCGUAUUUAAGUAUACUGAUCAUAUCGUACGGUUGAAUUUUCAUUUUGUAAAAUUUAGCCAUCGGAACCAUAACGUGCCUACUAAUAUGGUAUAACUUGUUUAGUAAGUUAUAUGCAAGUAUACAUUUUUGUGAACCAACUAUAUAUAGGAUGCAAUAUUUUCAAAAAUCAUGUGAAAUAGGAUGUGAUCGGUAUGAUGAAAUAUGACAAUAGUUGAAAAAUCACAUAUUUCCGGUAAUGUUUGGUCGCCGAUAGAAGCGGUCAACCCCAUUUACGUUUAUGCUUCUCUACAAUUCUAUAAUAUCAUUAAUUUCUUACUUAGGCAAAAAAUAAUAAUCAUUUCAAGUUAGCAUAUAACUGAUUGAUUACUCAAAUGAAUUCAAUACUAUAAUUAUAUAAUUCUAUAAAUAAAACUGAUAAUGAAUAUCAUUAAAUUACUGAACUAAUUUAAUACUAUAAUUAUAUAAUUCUAAAAAAAAUAUUAAUUACUUAGAGGACGAAAUCGUUGCCUAACUGCAAAAUUUUUAGCAGCACCUUUUCCGCCAAAAAUUUCAGACAAAUUCAAACCAAAAUUUGAAAAGUUUCCUUAUCUUCUUUUUGUUCUUCUUUUUAUUACCUCUUCCUCACUUUUCAUUUCUCUAUUGUUUUUCUUUGAACUCUCUCUUCUCUUCUUCAGACUCUCCUCUCCCUCCUCUCUUCUUUAGACUCUUCUCUCCUGCCUCUCCUCUCCCUCCUCUCUUCUCCCCCACCGACUGAGACCCCUAGACUCUAGCUCUCCCUCUGCCUCUCCUUCUUCUUCGCUCUCACUCUGGUCUGCGUCACAAGACGAGCACGCGGGUCUAGCACGCAGAUUUGGGUCGCUGGCGAAGGGGCUGGGUGGCCGACGAAGGAGUAUGCAGAUCUGAGCACGCAAAUCAAAACCGCCAAACGGAGGAAUUAAAUCUCCACCGCUCCGACUGUCAUGGCCGCCAACCGCCAUCGUCAAGGCCAAGCGAUCGCCACCCGCUCACCUUCCCUUUGUUGAGGUAUGUAAAUCUUACUAUUAAUAUACCGUUUUGGCCUUGGUUGAUUUGUGAUCGGAGAACUAAGUUUGCGUUUUUGCAGAUGACUACGAAGGCGAUCUUGGUUGAAAUUGGGUUGUUCGAUCUCGGUUGUAAGAUAUUGGGGUUGUUUAGGGUUGAUUGGAUUUGGGUUGUAAGAAGUUGGAGUCGGAGGUGGUGUAGGAGGCGGCGGCGGCGGCGGCGGUUGUAACAAUACUAGAAACCCAGUAUCUGUCAAAAACGAACCUAAAACAAAAAAAAAGACCUAAUGGAAAAGAACCUAAAAGAAAAGGACCUAAAAGAAGAAAAAAAACAAAAACAGAAAAUUCACAAAUUUAAUAAAAAUAAUUUUUUUUUCUUUUUAUGUCACAAAUUUAAUACUAGAACUUAAAUUCGGGAAAGGAAACUAAGGCGACUAUAAUUUUCUUUUGUCAUUAAGUGUUGGCGACAAUAAUUUCGACCCUUGAAUGUGUUUGUUUUCCACUUUAGACUUAUGUGACGAUGAAUAAAUAGUCGCCUAAGUGUUCAUUUAGGCGACCAUUAUUUUUUUUUCGUCGCCUAAAUUCUUACGGGUCCAUACUGAGGCGACGAUUGUUAGGCGACGAAUUUUUCGUCGCCUGAGAACUUAGGCGACGAAAAUGAGCAUUUAGGCGACGAAACCUGUUUGUCACCUAAAUCCUUUAUUCUAGUAGUGCCAAUAAUAUUCAUACCAUCGACAUAUAACGCAAAUACAAAAAUUAGGAACUUUUUGUCUUUAUAAACAAGCAAGAGUAUAAUUCAUUGUUCACGUACUCUCUUCUAAUCAAGUAGUCCAGAUUGUUUUCAUAUAGUGAACGUCGCAUACUUAUAGCAAAAGUGCUGAGUGUUCUGGAGUCAUUUGAGUUGAGCAUCUAGAUUCUAUUAGGGACCUUCAUGUGCAUCUCCGUAACUAGAUCUCCAUAGAGAUAGACAAUGACCACAUCCAUAAGAUGAAUAUUCAGUUUUUCUUAAACUAUCAAACUAAUAAGGUAGUAGAUCAUUUUGACGUCCAUAAAUUAUAAGAGAAUACAUCUUCUCGUAGUCGAUUCCAUGAUGUUGCUGAGUCUCAAACCUUUGAAGUACCCAAGUUCUAGUUGGUAGGCUCAUAGGCAUGAAGAUCCUCAGAUAGACCAGUGCACCCUUAAAAUGGAAAUAACUUAGGUGACCAUCUAUGAUCACUUAUGAGUGACAAACACUAAUGAGAGAUAAACAAGUGUCAAUAAUAAAAAUAAACAAAUAUGUCAAAUACCUAAAAUCUUCAUGUUAUGUCCUUAGAUUGCAGCCAUGCCUUUUAAAAUAGACACGUGUCUCAUGUUCAUUGGUUGUGGUCACCUUAAGGUGACCAACCCUUGUCACCGAAGUCGGAUACGUUUAAAUGAUAAGUGAUGAAUAACGGUAAUUAGCCCCUCUAAAGAAUCUAGCUAUGAACCACAAAAUUAAUCUAUAAGUGAGUGGAUACAUUACCCCAUAGCCCAUGCAACCCAAAUAUGAAUUACAAGGAUAAACAUUUAGCUCCGGUGCGUAUUGUUGCAUUUCUUGUAGUCAUAAGGUGCAAGAACACAUAAAAUUCUAGCUUAGGCACUCAUUGUAGCCCUCUUUACAAAACGCGAUGUCCCUUUGAAAGUUUAUUGAUAUUUUAUUUUGUUUUAUUAUUAACUUCUGUAUUAUAUUAUUUAUUUAUUUAGAAGCUUGAUUUUGAAAUAUAUCAUUAAGAAGAAAAUGGCCAAUCAUGAUAGGAUGGCCUUAACCGUAAGACCAACCCUGAAGUGCAAUCUUAUUCUGGUUGUUGUUCUUUCUUACAUUAUUUAAAAAUAAAUAUACACAAGUUCUUUCUUGUAGGACUCAGCUCAUUUGUUAAUCAAUAUCC